rnacentral:rRNA from 1 species
GACUUCUUUGACAGAAUUCUUCGGAAGGAAGUUGAUUAAGUUUAGUGGCGGACGGGUGAGUAACGCGUGAGUAACCUGCCUUUGAGAGGGGAAUAACUUCCCGAAAGGGAUGCUAAUACCGCAUGACGCAUAUUUAUCGCAUGGUAGAUAUGCCAAAGAUUUAUCGCUCAAAGAUGACUCGCGUCCGAUUAGCCAGUUGGCGGGGUAACGGCCCACCAAAGCGACGAUCGGUAGCCGGACUGAGAGGUUGAACGGCCACAUUGGGACUGAGACACGGCCCAGACUCCUACGGGAGGCAGCAGUGGGGGAUAUUGCGCAAUGGGGGAAACCCUGACGCAGCAACGCCGCGUGAAGGAUGAAGGUUUUCGGAUUGUAAACUUCUUUUAUUUAGGACGAAUUAUGACGGUACUAAAUGAAUAAGCUCCGGCUAACUACGUGCCAGCAGCCGCGGUAAUACGUAGGGAGCAAGCGUUAUCCGGAUUUACUGGGUGUAAAGGGUGCGUAGGCGGCUUGGUAAGUCAGAUGUGAAAUGUAUGGGCUCAACCCAUGCACUGCAUUUGAAACUAUUGAGCUUGAGUGAAGUAGAGGUAGGCGGAAUUCC